UCCGGUUUGGCACCGGCAGUCUCCAAUGAGUCCCCGCCAUUACGCGCUGGCAACACAGGACAAGGGUUGCGCUCGUUGCGGGACUUAACCCAACAUCUCACGACACGAGCUGACGACAGCCAUGCACCACCUGUAUACCGACCACAAGGGGGGCCGUAUCUCUGCAGCUUUCCGGUAUAUGUCAAACCCAGGUAAGGUUCUUCGCGUUGCAUCGAAUUAAUCCACAUGAUCCACUGCUUGUGCGGGUCCCCGUCAAUUCCUUUGAGUUUUAAUCUUGCGAUCGUACUCCCCAGGCGGCAUAUUUAACGCGUUAGCUUCUCAGCACAGAGGGUCGAUACUCCAUACUAAUAAUAUGCAUCGUUUACGGCGUGGACUAC
rnacentral:misc_RNA from 1 species